rnacentral:rRNA from 1 species
UGGGGAAUUUUGGACAAUGGGCGAAAGCCUGAUCCAGCAAUGCCGCGUGUGUGAAGAAGGCCUUCGGGUUGUAAAGCACUUUUGUCCGGAAAGAAAUCCUUGGCUCUAAUACAGUCGGGGGAUGACGGUACCGGAAGAAUAAGCACCGGCUAACUACGUGCCAGCAGCCGCGGUAAUACGUAGGGUGCAAGCGUUAAUCGGAAUUACUGGGCGUAAAGCGUGCGCAGGCGGUUUGCUAAGACCGAUGUGAAAUCCCCGGGCUCAACCUGGGAACUGCAUUGGUGACUGGCAGGCUAGAGUAUGGCAGAGGGGGGUAGAAUUCCACGUGUAGCAGUGAAAUGCGUAGAGAUGUGGAGGAAUACCGAUGGCGAAGGCAGCCCCCUGGGCCAAUACUGACGCUCAUGCACGAAAGCGUGGGGAGCAAACAGGAUUAGAUACCCUGGUAGUCCACGCCCUAAAACGAUGUCAACUAGUUGUUGGGGAUUCAUUUCCUUAGUAACGUAGUUAACGCGUGAAGUUGACCGCCUGGGGAGUACGGUCGCAAGAUUAAAACUCAAAUGAAUUGACGGGGUCAUAGCUGUUUCCU